GGCCCCGUCGUCUAGCGGAUAGGACACCACCCCUUCAAGGUGGAAACAUGGGUUCAAUUCCCGUCGGGGCCACCA
rnacentral:tRNA from 1 species